CCGAACACCUCCAGACGUCGGUAACAUCUGUAAAACACACGCAGAGCACGUUUACCCAGAUUGCAGUGGGGUUUCACUGCGACCAGUACACGCUGACCCAGCGGCUGCAGGCCGAGCGACACGACCGCAGCGUCGCAGAAGAGAACCUGCAGAGAGAGCUGAGACAGAGCAGAGAGAUGCUGCAGGUGUUGUAUGAGCGCCUACAUGAGGUGGACAGCAAAAAGAUGGUGCAGCAGAUGGAGAACAACCUGCAGAUGCUUGAAAGCAACACGGACAAUGUCCUCAAAACAGCAGAGAUGCUCGGAGCUACACACCAGGAAACGCGUGUCAGUCAUGCAGUAGAGCUGAUGUCAGUACACGUGGAGCAUCUCAAGAGACGUCACGCUAUACAGAGCGAGGAGAUGCUGGAGGUCAGAAAGCUGCUGCACAGGAGGAAGGGCCGAUUGCACAGUGACUCCACAGGUCAGUGCUGCCCCUAGUGGCCUGGA
rnacentral:lncRNA from 1 species